GAUGAACGCUGGCGGCGUGCCUAAUACAUGCAAGUCGAGCGAACGGACGAGAAGCUUGCUUCUCUGAUGUUAGCGGCGGACGGGUAAGUAACACGUGGAUAACCUACCUAUAAGACUGGGAUAACUUCGGGAAACCGGAGCUAAUACCGGAUAAUAUUUUGAACCGCAUGGUUCAAAAGUGAAAGACGGUCUUGCUGUCACUUAUAGAUGGAUCCGCGCUGCAUUAGCUAGUUGGUAAGGUAACGGCUUACCAAGGCAACGAUGCAUAGCCGACCUGAGAGGGUGAUCGGCCACACUGGAACUGAGGCACGGUCCAGACUCCUACGGGAGGCAGCAGUAGGGAAUCUUCCGCAAUGGGCGAAAGCCUGACGGAGCAACGCCGCGUGAGUGAUGAAGGUCUUCGGAUCGUAAAACUCUGUUAUUAGGGAAGAACAUAUGUGUAAGUAACUGUGCACAUCUUGACGGUACCUAAUCAGAAAGCCACGGCUAACUACGUG
rnacentral:rRNA from 1 species